rnacentral:lncRNA from 1 species
GUUUUCAGCUCCUGAUCCGAAAAACAACAGAUCCGUGAAUAGCACCGAAUAGAUCCGACUACUGCACCCAGGUCCGGCUAGUGCACCCAGGUCCGACUACUGCACCCAGGCCCGACUACUGCACCCAGGUCCGACUACUGCACCCAGGUCCGGCUACUGCACCCAGGUCCGACUACUGCACCCAGGUCCGGCUUUGAUCUUGUAGGUGUCUUAUUUCACUCCUCCUCUCUCACUGCAGCCGCGUUACUCUCACCUAAAUUUCAGGCGAGGGUAGCCGCAUCUCAAGCGAGCGAGUCUAAUAUGUGUUCGACUUGAAGGUCGGUGUAUGAGGUCCGUAUAAGCAUACAGAGCCGUCUGCUCUCUAGAGCUCUCGCGAUAGACUUGCGCUGCUUCCAUUCGAACAACCCGGGAUUAGCCAUUUUGGCCUGUUCAAAGAAAAGUCAGAAAACAACAAGUGAGGCCUGUUCGAAGAAAACACCGAGAUUAGCAGCUAAGCUUUUGCUAUCGCACAGGGAAGGUUUUCCGGAACGCAUUGAAAAUGAAAUUCUUUUCCAGUGUCUUCAUAUUAAUUUCAGUCGCUGUGUGUGUUGCUCAGUUGAAGUUGGAGGCAACUGAUGGAGAAAAUGUUACUAUAUCCUUCAAAACUGCUGAACUGGAGAGAGCCGAUCGAGUGAGGAUAACUUUUACAAGAGAAAAUCUGAUCAACUUGAUUGCGCAAUACUGUCGCUGUGCCCAUUGUGUGGACUGUAUUGUUGUGGAAACACCUGGAGUCUUACUGCGAGUUGAAGAAGGAACCUUAAUUCUUCUAAAUGUCAGCUCCAAAAGCUCAGGCCUCUAUGAAGCAAAAAUAAUCACUGGAAACAAUGUGUCUAAGAAGACUGCUACACUUGUUGUCAAACCACCAUUUUCCUCCAGUAGAGCGCCACCACAAACCUCCAUCUCAAAACCUCCAGAAACCUCCAUCUCAAAACCUCCCAACUCCUCUGAACGCCAAAGGCUAUAUGUAUUAAUUGCUCCAGUAUUCAUCUUGGGGGUUUGUUUCUUCUGUAAAUGCAUGAGGGGAUGUGAUGCAGCAGCUGAUAAUAAACCAGCCUGAUGGACCCCUGCUGUCUCCAGACACGGCAUCUUCAAAAAAUAAGUGUAAAAGAAAUGGCAGUGACUGUUUAGCUGUCUCCUUUAAGGCUUGUAGAGAAGACACUGAAGAUCAGCUCGUGGAUACCUGACUUGAUGCUGAGUGUCUUGACUGCAAGCGACGUCUCUCACUGCCUCUUGAACUGAGGCGUCAAAACCACAUUUAGUUUUUUGAUUUUGUGGGAAAAUAGACAAUCUGAAAGCUGAGACUUUUUCUUAUCAGAAGUAACAAAGCACUUUGCGAUUACUGGAUGGGAGGUACAUUAGAAAUAAUGUUAAAUGAAGGGAAAAUCCAAACACUUUAGCCUUAAUCAGACUCUCGGUCUAGAUCUGAUUUUUGUGCAUGUCUGAUUGGAAUCCAAUCAGAUUUAGUAAUACUGUUUGGGGCAGUCGUGGCCUAAUGGUUAGAGUCGAACUUGUAACCCAGAGAUUGCGGGUUCGAGUCUCCGGUCCGGCAGAGAUUGUCGGUCGGGGGAGUGAAUAACCAGCGCUUUCUUCCACCCUCAAUACCACGACUGAGGUGAGACUCUUGAGCAAGAACCGAACCCCCAAUGUGGCUGCCCACUGCUCCAAGUGUGUGUGCACUUGGAUGGGUUAAAUGCAGAGCACAAAUUCCGAGUAUGAGUCACGAUACUUGGCAUAUUUCGUGAAACUGUGUGAACGCCAGACACAACUGUUGUCACAUGCUAGAAGCUGUCUACAGACUAGACUGUCUACUGGACGCUCCAACUCAACAUCAUUUCCAUAGAAAUCAAUGCAGAUUUUCCAGAAAAUUAAAGACAAUCUGUCAUUUAGAUACAAACCUCUGAGUGAGAAUGUAGCCUUUGAGGCCAGUGAAAUUUUUUUACAGAGUGAAAAUUGAAAGAAAAUGUGUUCACUCAAAAAUAAAAGAUUUAAAGGGGA